AUAUAAAAAAUUUGAACAAAUUGGAAAUUUAUUUAUGACGACUAUCCUACUAUAUUAUUUGGGAAGUACAUUUUAAAUAUAACCUUAAUUUUUGUAAGUAAUUACAUAUGUAUGCCAUUAGAAAUAAAAUUUUAAAGAGUAAAUUAAUUUAUCUCUUUAAAGAUUAAAAAGUCAAAUACUAAUUUAAUUAAUUAAAUUUAAUUAAAAAACGAAAUACAUUAUUAAUUUUCAAAAAUAAUAACCAAUCAAAAUCAACAUAUAAGAUUUGAUAUCUAAAUUUUAAUUAAUUUAAUUUAAUUAGAAAAACGAAAUACAUUAUUAAUUUCCAAAAAAGUAACCUAUUAAAAUCAACAAAUUAGAUUUGAUAUCUAAAUUAUCAUAUUAAUUUUUUAUUAAUUAUUAUAGUUCAUUUCUCAUCUUUAUAUGAUUCUAUUUUUGCGAAAAAUAAUAUCAUCAUUAUAAAAAAUA
rnacentral:sRNA from 1 species